rnacentral:lncRNA from 1 species
AUGCAGUUUUCCAAGAGCCAUUUGAUCUCCAAGAUGUUAUGUGAGUGUCUUUUGUAUUUUAUUUUUUCCCUUAGAAAAGAAAAGCUGAUGGUUUGCCAAAAGAAAAUGAACUCCAAACUCUCGGGGUCUGAACUGGGUUCAAGCAUCAGAUCCAGGGAAGCUCAGGGGUUGCUGUUGAGUCAGGGGCCUCAAAUGUUCUCUGCACAAGCCAGGAUUGCUCCAGGAAACGGGAGGACAUCAGCCCCCAGAGAGGAAACAUCACAGGCAGUUGCUGUCAGACAAGAGGGGUAAGCAGAAAGCCCUUUUGGCACAGGGGAGGCACAGCCCCUCCUUCAGAAGGCCCAGAUGGGAGUGGC